rnacentral:lncRNA from 1 species
AUGGUAACGCAUGCAUCAGCUGAGGAAGUCACUUGGAUGAGUCAUGAAACAUUUCUCACAGUGAAAAAGUGUCCACAUGAACUGAAUCAACUUUCUGGGAUUUCCUUACCUGGAUUAUUGAGAAUGCAUCACGACACACAUCAACCUUUGCAAUAUUUCACUAAAACUAAUGUGACGCUACAGGAAGAAUCAGAGGAAUGUGCUAAGGAAGUCACCCUGCUUUGCCAGCCGGUCUGCCAACCUUCUGAUGAAAACACACCUGUAAGAUAAAAGCCAACUCUGGGAAUUAAAUCAGGUAACCAGUUGAGCUGCCUUGAAAACUGUUUUCUGUUCAGGACCUGCAGACAUUGGGGCUGAAAACUCAAUCCUUUGUUUAAUACUUUAAGCUGUUGCUUAGGUUUUUGUC